AGCCCCGUAGUCUAGCGGUCAAGGAUACGGCCCUUUGGAGGCUGUGGCGGCAGUUCGAAUCUGCCCGGGGCUA
rnacentral:tRNA from 1 species